rnacentral:rRNA from 1 species
UACAGAGGUCUCAAGCGUUGUUCGGAUUCAUUGGGCGUAAAGGGUGCGUAGGCGGCGCGGUAAGUCGGGUGUGAAAUUUCGGAGCUUAACUCCGAAACUGCAUUCGAUACUGCCGUGCUUGAGGACUGGAGAGGAGACUGGAAUUUACGGUGUAGCGGUGAAAAUGCGUAGAUAUCGUAAGGAAGACCAGUGGCGAAGGCGGGUCUCUGGACAGUUCCUGACGCUGAGGCACGAAGGCCAGGGGGAGCAAAACGGG